UGUGAGAGGGGGACGGGGGUGGGCGAGGGGCCGGGGAGGCUAAGGGGCGGGGCGCGCGGCGCUGCCGCUACGAGGCGGGGAGGGGCGACGACGGGCACGGGCCGCGGAGGCGGAGGCGCUGCCGCCGGGGCGGGCCGUCCCGGCGGUCGUACGCCUACAAGGUGCCGCUGCACAAGGAGCCGCUCCGCCUGCAGAAGGGCUAGUUCGGGCCCGGGCUCCCGCGGGACGGGAAGGGGUCGUUGCUCUAGGCGUAGUCGGUGGAGAGCGGCCGGUCGCUCGCGACGGGCGGGGAGCGGUAGGACGUCUGGUAGCGCGGGAAGAGGCACGCGACGUUCGAGGUCCGGUCCGGCGAGGGAGGGGUGAGGUCGGAGGUGGCGGAGAUGGAGUGGACGAAGUUGCUCAUGUUCUCGCGCCACCACCACCAGCCUCUGCUCCUCGACGUGGACCACCGUUACGGCUCGUUCCACCUCUUCCACGGCACGAAGACCACGACGAGACACGCCCGACCCGAGAUACGUCGCAGGCACCCCUACGAGUUGGAGGCGACGGAACGAUAACACAAACUAGAACUACUCUGGGAGUAGCAACGAUUGUGCUACUCCAGGAAACUCUCGGCCUAGCUCUACGAAAGGGCAUCCUACCUGUAACUCCUACUGGGACAGUCCCAUCGCCCCUACAGACGUCUUUAGUUCGCCAUAUAACUCCUGUCCCUCGAAGAGUUCCUCAAGUAACUGUGUCUGUGACAAUGUCUGUUACCGUCUUAACAACCGUGGGUCUUCCUCCUCCAAGUCGGAUACGGACCACAGGUCCUCGCAGAACAAGCCGGACAUUAGUCCAACGGGCUCUCCUUACGAUAAGACUGGGCGUAGUUAGGUCUCUAAGCGCUAUGGUCACAAAAACACUUCGAUUCCGGACGGACCCUCCUAAACUCUUCAAUGGAUUGACGGUUCCCUGCGUUUUCUAAACUCCAGAUACACACAUGUUACCGACUUUCUCUAAUACGAGAACUCUAUACCUCUGAAGAACUAGGUCUUCGGUUAAACUAGUCGAACUUAUUAGAAAGUCUAGCACAUCAUACACAUUUUCGUCCAAGGUUCUUCAGGGACGUCGUACAAAAAUCUCUUCCUCCUACGGUAGGUUUCUACCGGUACCACUAACUACUAUCCGACGUUCAAACCCUACUCUUUCUAGUCGUAGCUCAAGUACAGCAGGGACGGAUACGAGGUAUGAUACGGGGUGUUCGGCUCUACCGUUUGCGACAAGGUCACGAGACACAACGCUCUUUACAACGAACGUUACAAGCACCACCAAAGAAGUCCCUUAAACUACUUUUAGAUGACUUCUUUCAUAAACUUGAUAACAUGCUUUUACUCAAUGACCUAGAAGGGAUACGAGGUCUACAGCCACUGAUGAAUCAGAGGCUCCUGGGAUUAAAAGGUGGUUCGUUAUUUCUAGGACGGGGAUAUGGACUCCCAUACUCACCUUGACUUCAUCUCUUCUCUAACUUACCCGCCCGUAUAGUCCCCCUGGUUUUUGUCUAUAGCAGUAGUUAGGCAGGUAGUCUACUACGUGCUCACCGUUAGGCCCCUUGAGAUCCGUCAAGUUUACACGUUGGGUUACCCCCGAGUUACCGUUAACAGGGAAGAAACAAACAGUGCCAUAACGUUCUUUAACCUGCUGAUACGUUAAGCUUCCACCUCAAAUCCAGAUGACAUUCGUGGUCGUUUUAAUGUGUUAAAAGACAACUCCAAGAUAAAUCAUUACUUUUUUAACCUUUACCGUAACCUUUUUGUUCUCUACUUCGAGUUCAUGUUCGACGACUUUUUCGAGAGGUUUUAAACGUUUCGUUAAUGAACAGUAUACAACGAGGAUAGCGACCUCAAGAAUUGUUUCUGUGUUCGUUCAGAAGAUCCUUACCUUUACCGAAAGACCUUCUGCUAGACCUAAGUCUACCACUAUGACGGUACGUUCUUGGUAGACCUUCAUUUAGUCUUGUCUUCCUAGUAAGUUUACACCUAUCCAACGGGAGACAUAAUUCAGAAUAAUCUCUUGAAACGAACCUCCUAGUUGUACAUCAUAAAGCUCUAGUUCAAGCCUUAGGACCGAGUCGUUGGUUACUUCUUAUGGUAAAGGUCAAGAGUAGACACGCCGACACGGGUCAUGGACAGAAACCGACCUGCGGCCACCCACGACGGUCAUAACCAUUUACUAGGCGACCCAGACGAUUUCCCAACGUCAUAUUCGGUCUUCCGGCUGCUGGAAAAGUGACUUUGUUUGACCACAGAAGUUUCAACCUGGUUUGGCCAAAGUCUAAGGUUGAAAGAAAGUUGGACCGAAUAUGACGAAAAAUAAACAACCAAGGUGGACUAACGGUACGGAAGUUUGAAAUUUAUAAAAUUAGGAAUGAACUUUUAAUAUGAAGGGUCACUCAGGUAUCAUUUGGUUUAACUAAAACUAUCAGAGAUUAUUCGUAAACAUACAUGGAAGACACUCGAACAAUUACGUCGAUUGUAACGUCAACAAUUAUAAAACUUCCAACUUGAUCGCCCUGUCUAAGAACCCUUACCAUAACCACACUUGUUUCUAAAGCGCUUCGAAGUCCGCCGUCUUCUCCGCGACUCCAAGAACUUUUGUUGGUGACUGGGUGUCUAAUUCUUCGUAAACUCUGGUUAUUCUACGUCGUCAACUAAAGAAGUGGGAGACCGGGGUUAGUUUACUCAACUUUCUUUCACCUUACACCUUAGUUAGGGAGUCGGUAAUCGUGUGGAAAUCGGAAGCCUAUCCGUUGAAAACCUUCACCGUAAUGCCUCUCGCCCUGCACCACGAGGCAGCUUAGAACACUGGUGGAAGCGGCCUCUUAGAAGAGCCUCUGAUAAAACGGAGGCCCGUUGAUGUUGACGUCGGCAUCAGUAGAGCCAUCCUACGACCGCAUCAACCGACAUUUGUCCAUCCUUACAUCCUAAUCAGCACUUAUCAUUGACAAACGAACAUUUAACAAGUCCCCGUAACUUUGACCUUACGAGCACGACUAAAGUUUCAAAUAUACAAGUAUUCGCCACCACUACAAGAGACAGCUAGCACGAACACGACUAAAACCUAGCGUGUCCUCCGUUUGAACCAGAUUCGAGGAAUGUUAGAUUCCACGAAUCUUUUUAUUUAACAAAAAGUUCGUGAUCACGAGUAGAGAA
rnacentral:rRNA from 1 species